rnacentral:rRNA from 1 species
UGGGGAAUUGUUCGCAAUGGGCGCAAGCCUGACGACGCAACGCCGCGUGGAGGAUGAAGAUCUUCGGGUCGUAAACUCCUUUCGAUCGAGACGAACAGCCUUCGGGUAAACAAUCCGGAGGUCUGACGGUACCGAGAGAAGAAGCCCCGGCUAACUCCGUGCCAGCAGCCGCGGUAAUACGGGGGGGGCAAGCGUUGUUCGGAAUUACUGGGCGUAAAGGGCUCGUAGGCGGCCAACUAAGUCAGACGUGAAAUCCCUCGGCUUAACCGGGGAACUGCGUCUGAUACUGGAUGGCUUGAGUUUGGGAGAGGGAUGCGGAAUUCCAGGUGUAGCGGUGAAAUGCGUAGAUAUCUGGAGGAACACCGGUGGCGAAGGCGGCAUCCUGGACCAACACUGACGCUGAGUGAGCGAAAGCCAGGGGAGCAAACG